rnacentral:rRNA from 1 species
AGAUGCUCACUGGGUGUAAAGCGUGCGCAGGCGGUUUUGUAAGACAGAGGUGAAAUCCCCGGGCUCAACCUGGGAACUGCCUUUGUGACUGCAAGGCUGGAGUGCGGCAGAGGGGGAUGGAAUUCCGCGUGUAGCAGUGAAAUGCGUAGAUAUGCGGAGGAACACCGAUGGCGAAGGCAAUCCCCUGGGCCUGCACUGACGCUCAUGCACGAAAGCGUGGGGAGCAAACA